UAAUCUGUGCUUUCCAAUGGUCUUAG
rnacentral:piRNA from 1 species